UUGUUCGUGAAAUCUCACGGCUUAACUGUGAGCGUGCGGGCGAUACGGGCAGACUUGAGUACUGCAGGGGAGACUGGAAUUCCUGGUGUAGCGGUGGAAUGCGCAGAUAUCAGGAGGAACACCGGUGGCGAAGGCGGGUCUCUGGGCAGUAACUGACGCUGAGGAGCGAAAGCGUGGGGAGCGAACAGGAUUAGAUACCCUGGUAGUCCACGCCGUAAACGGUGGGUACUAGGUGUGGGUUUCCUUCCUUGGGAUCCGUGCCGUAGCUAACGCAUUAAGUACCCCGCCUGGGGAGUACGGCCGCAAGGCUAAAACUCAAAGAAAUUGACGGGGGCCCGCACAAGCGGCGGAGCAUGUGGAUUAAUUCGAUGCAACGCGAAGAACCUUACCUGGGUUUGACAUGCACAGGACGCCGGCAGAGAUGUCGGUUCCCUUGUGGCCUGUGUGCAGGUGGUGCAUGGCUGUCGUCAGCUCGUGUCGUGAGAUGUUGGGUUAAGUCCCGCAACGAGCGCAACCCUUGUCUCAUGUUGCCAGCGGGUAAUGCCGGGGACUCGUGAGAGACUGCCGGGGUCAACUCGGAGGAACGGUGGGGAUGACGUCAAGUCAUCAUGCCCCUUAUGUCCAGGGCUUCACACAUGCUACAAUGGCCGGUACAAAGGGCUGCGAUGCCGCGAGGUUAAGCGAAUCCUUUUAAAGCCGGUCUCAGUUCGGAUCGGGGUCUGCAACUCGACCCCCGUGAAGUCGGAGUCGCUAGUAAUCGCAGA
rnacentral:rRNA from 1 species